rnacentral:rRNA from 1 species
GGCGUAAAGCGUGUUUAGAAGUAAACAAAAAUAAAAUCAAAUAUUGACCAAACUGUAAAAAGUACUAGUCAUAAACAAAACCAGCAACGAAAGCGAUUUUAGAAUCUUUUGAGCACACGAUAGCUAAGACCCAAACUGGGAUUAGAUACCCCACUAUGCUUAGCCUUAAACCUUAAUAAAUUCAUAACAAAAUUAUUCGCCAGAGAACUACAAGCCAGAGCUUAAAACUCAAAGGACUUGGCGGUGCUUUAUACCCACCUAGAGGAGCCUGUUCUAUAAUCGAUAAACCCCGCUAAACCUUACCACUCUUUGCCACUCAGCUUAUAUACCGCC